rnacentral:rRNA from 1 species
AUACACCUGUUCCCAUGCCGAACACAGAAGUUAAGCUUCAACACGCCAAAAGUAGUUGGGGGAUCGCUCCCUGCGAGGAUAGGACGUUGCCACGC